UACGUAGGGCGCAAGCGUUGUCCGGAAUUAUUGGGCGUAAAGAGCUCGUAGGCGGUUUGUCGCGUCUGUCGUGAAAGCCCACGGCUUAACCGUGGGUCUGCGGUGGAUACGGGCAGACUAGAGGCAGGUAGGGGAGAAUGGAAUUCCCGGUGUAGUGGUGGAAUGCGUAGAUAUCGGGAGGAACACCAGUGGCGAAGGCGGUUGCCUGGAGCUUUGCUGACGCUGAUGCGCGAAAGCGUGGGGAGCGAUCCGG
rnacentral:rRNA from 1 species